GGCGGAGUGGUCAAACGCACAAGAUUUAGGCUCUUGAAGACUAUCAGUUGUCGCGGGUUCGAAUCCCGUA
rnacentral:tRNA from 1 species